UACGUAGGGGGCAAGCGUUGUUCGGAUUUAUUGGGCGUAAAGAGCGUGUAGGCGGCCAAGUAAGUCUGCUGUGAAAACUCGAGGCUUAACCUCGAGCUGUCGGCGGAAACUAUUUGGCUAGAGUCCGGAAGAGGAGAAUGGAAUUCCCGGUGUAGCGGUGAAAUGCGCAGAUAUCGGGAAGAACACCCGUGGCGAAGGCGGUUCUCUGGGACGGUACUGACGCUGAGACGCGAAAGCGUGGGGAGCGAACAGG
rnacentral:rRNA from 1 species